CCUACGGGUGGCAGCAGUAGGGAAUCUUCCACAAUGGACGAAAGUCUGAUGGAGCAACGCCGCGUGAGGGAAGAAGGGUUUCGGCUCGUAAAGCUCUGUUGGUAGUGAAGAAAGAUAGAGGUAGUAACUGGCCUUUAUUUGACGGUAAUUACUUAGAAAGUCACGUCUAACUACGUGCCAGCAGCCGCGGUAAUACGUAGGUGGCAAGCGUUGUCCGGAUUUAUUGGGCGUAAAGCGAGUGCAGGCGGUUCAAUAAGUCUGAUGGGAAAGCCUUCGGCUCAACCGGAGAAUUGCAUCAGAAACUGUUGAACGUGAGUGCAGAAGAGGAGAGUGGAAGUCCAUGUGUAGCGGUGGAAUGCGUAGAUAUAUGGAAGAACACCAGUGGCGAAGGCGGCUCUCUGGUCUGCAACUGACGCUGAGGCUCGAAAGCAUGGGUAGCGAACAGGAUUAGAUACCCCGGUAGUC
rnacentral:rRNA from 1 species